rnacentral:piRNA from 1 species
UGGGUUGAAAAGUUGUAAAUAACUUCACAUC